CGGAAAUAAAGGAAAGACAGUUUGACUUUUAAUCAAGUUGUCCGGGGUUCGAAUCCCCGAUGUCUCA
rnacentral:tRNA from 1 species